GGAGGCGUCUGGGUUCCUGGUGGGCCCCCCGGUCUUCAACACCGGUGGGACGGCCUCGGGUCGUCCGGCGGGUUCGAUUCCCGUCCGCCUCCGC
rnacentral:tRNA from 1 species